CGGUUCCCUUCUUUCUUAUUUUCCUUCUUCUUUUCUUUCUUGUUCUUCAUUUCUUCUUCUUUGUUCUUCUCGGCCGAGCAGACCGAACACAGAGAGAUUGAGAGGGAUAGAUCAGAGAGUGAGAUCGAGAGAUUGAGAGAGAUUGAGAGGGAGUGAGAUCGGGAGAGUUGAGAGAGAUGGAGACCGAUUCUCCAGUGGAUCAGCGCCGGUGGAGCCGGAGGCCCGAUUUCCGGCCGAUCUUCCUGUGGGCGAGCUGGGUCGUCCCCGGUGAGUCAGGGGUGCUAUUUUCCGGUGGAGCCGAUCGUGACUUGGAGAAGACCUGAGAACCCGUGACCCGUGUGUGUGAAACCCGGACGACCCAUCGAACCCGUGCAACCCAGACCGAACCGAGAGAGAGACCGGAUUUCCCGAUCGAUUUCCGCAGGAGGGUGAUGCGAUUUACGGCGAUUCACCCCUGUGACCGAUCUCACUGUUUUUCAGUGGAUUUUCUGGGGAAAAUCCUUAAAAUUUACGGUUAUACCCUUCUUCCAUCCUCUUUCCUUCUUCUUCAUUCUUCCGCCACGCAAACCCAUUUCAACCAGCCAUACCGAUGACGAUGUUUCUACCAAAUCCAUCUCCAUCCGUGAAUCUCGCCGGUCAUACCACGAUUUUAUCUACCAACUCCUCCACCGAAACACUGUGCUACUGUAGACUUUUUUUUUUUUUUUUUUGGGGGGGGAUUUCUUUUCAGAAAUCCAUUAUCCAUUCAUGCUUCCGCUUCCUCCCACUCCUCAAAGUCCUCUCCUCCACUCUAUUCUCAACCUCAACCUCAACCUUCUCUUUCUCCUCCAACCAAAACCUCCACGGGAACAACUUCCAGUUACGGGAGCAGAAUAGGGUUCGCACUUUGCUUCCUUGUAAUGCUCUGCAGCACAGCCAGCGAGAGAGAGGUUCAGAUCCGACGCUACCCGAUUUUCAGAUCUAUGCUCUGAUCGGAUCUUCCCGGAGGAAACCUCACGUGAAUGUGGGAACCAUUGGGCAUGUCGAUCGUGGGAAAAAUACACUGACUGCAGCUAUAACAAAGGGAAGAGUUCAGAUAUGGGAGGUCAUUGUAGGUGCUGAAGACCUUGUUGAUUGAGAAGGUGUAUUUUUUACCAUGACAUGUUUGAGCAGAGGAUGAGAGGCUUUGGGAUAAUUAGUUAUUAGAGUUUUGGUUUGCUUUCGCCUGUUGCCAUUUCUGUUCGUGAAGCAGUUCCACGAACAAUACUCUCUUUAGUGGAAAUGUUUUUUGGUAAUUAAUUUGUAAUCUCUUUGACAGUGAUGAUGAGCUCUUAGAAGUAAAGCUUGAUUAUCUAUGUGCAUGUAUAUUAAUACAUUAUUAGUCAUUAAGGAAGUGUGUACGUACAGAAAAAGAGACUUGAUUUGUAACUCAAGUUGAUAUCUGUUAUUUGAUUAGCAAUGAUACAAUCAUGUAAGAUAGGUUGCCAUGUCUCUCUAUGUGGAUCUUUGGUUUCACUCAAUGCAGAUUCAGUGAAGCAGAUGGCCCCAAAUGGAAAAUUUGUUUGAAAUAAUGAGACAUUGAUUCUGUAUUUAAGGAGGUGGAAGAUUCAGGAUCCCCCGAGAUAUUCCUAAGCUCUUUUCGAAAUUCUCGCAAACUCAAUCACAAGCAACCACAAAUUCUGGUGGCACUUGGCCUUGCAAUUUGUAAAAGGUUUGUAAAUCUUAUGGAGGGACAUAUUUGGCUUGAAAGUGAAGGUCUUGGAAAGGGAUCUACCGCCUCUUUUGGCACGAAUUACUGAUUUUUCAUCUCUUGUAAAUUUUGGAUCUAAUUUAGUUUAGUAGUUUCAGGUGUAAUUUUUUGAAGAGAAAUAUGGUUUUUUGUUAAACAUUUGGCUCAAAUUAUUUCUAUGACUUGAUAAUUCUGAUGGCUCUUUCUUA